rnacentral:rRNA from 1 species
GGGUCAGUAGGUUGGUCGUGCCACCGGUACGUACUGGUCUCACUGAUUCCUCCUUCCUGAAUAACCGUAAUGCCAUUAAUUUGGUGUUGCGGGUAAACAGGACUGUUACUUUGAAAAAAUUAGAGUGUUUAAAGCAAGCUAACGCUUGAAUACAUUAGCAUGGAAUAAUGAAAUAGGACGAUCGAUCCUAUUUUGUUGGUUUCUAGGAUUGACGUA